rnacentral:rRNA from 1 species
AAAUUGAAGAGUUUGAUCAUGGCUCAGAUUGAACGCUGGCGGCAGGCCUAACACAUGCAAGUCGAACGGUAACAGGAAGCAGCUUGCUGCUUCGCUGACGAGUGGCGGACGGGUGAGUAAUGUCUGGGAAACUGCCUGAUGGAGGGGGAUAACUACUGGAAACGGUAGCUAAUACCGCAUAAUGUCGCAAGACCAAAGAGGGGGACCUUCGGGCCUCUUGCCAUCGGAUGUGCCCAGAUGGGAUUAGCUUGUUGGUGGGGUAACGGCUCACCAAGGCGACGAUCCCUAGCUGGUCUGAGAGGAUGACCAGCCACACUGGAACUGAGACACGGUCCAGACUCCUACGGGAGGCAGCAGUGGGGAAUAUUGCACAAUGGGCGCAAGCCUGAUGCAGCCAUGCCGCGUGUAUGAAGAAGGCCUUCGGGUUGUAAAGUACUUUCAGCGGGGAGGAAGGGAGUAAAGUUAAUACCUUUGCUCAUUGACGUUACCCGCAGAAGAAGCACCGGCUAACUCCGUGCCAGCAGCCGCGGUAAUACGGAGGGUGCAAGCGUUAA